rnacentral:rRNA from 1 species
UAGUCCACGCAGUAAACGAUGGAUACUAGUUGUCGGGAGGGUUACCUUUCGGUGACGCAGCUAACGCAUUAAGUAUCCCGCCUGGGGAGUACGAUCGCAAGGUUAAAACUCAAAUGAAUUGACGGGGGCCCGCACAAGCGGUGGAGCAUGUGGUUUAAUUCGAUGCAACGCGAAGAACCUUACCAGGUCUUGACAUCCUGAGAACUUUCUAGAGAUAGAUUGGUGCCUUCGGGAGCUCAGUGACAGGUGCUGCAUGGCUGUCGUCAGCUCGUGUCGUGAGAUGUUGGGUUAAGUCCCGUAACGAGCGCAACCCUUGUCCUUAGUUGCUAACAUUUAGUUGAGAACUCUAAGGAGACUGCCGGUGACAAACCGAGGAAGUGGGGACGACGUCAAGUCAUCAUGGCCCUUACGACCUGGGCUACACACGUGCUACAAUGGCCAGUACAGAGGGUUGCCAAGCCGCGAGGUGGAGCUAAUCCCACAAAGCUGGUCGUAGUCCGGAUUGG